rnacentral:rRNA from 1 species
UAAAGAGCUCGUAGGUGGUUUGUCGCGUUGUUCGUGAAAUCUCACGGCUUAACUGUGAGCGUGCGGGCGAUACGGGCAGACUAGAGUACUGCAGGGGAGACUGGAAUUCCUGGUGUAGCGGUGGAAUGCGCAGAUAUCAGGAGGAACACCGGUGGCGAAGGCGGGUCUCUGGGCAGUAACUGACGCUGAGGAGCGAAAGCGUGGGGAGCGAACAGGAUUAGAUGCCCUGGUAGUCCACGCCGUAAACGGUGGGUACUAGGUGUGGGUUUCCUUCCUUGGGAUCCGUGCCGUAGCUAACGCAUUAAGUACCCCGCCUGGGGAGUACGGCCGCAAGGCUAAAACUCAAAGGAAUUGACGGGGGCCCGCACAAGCGGCGGAGCAUGUGGAUUAAUUCGAUGCAACGCGAAGAACCUUACCUGGGUUUGACAUGCACAGGACGCGUCUAGAGAUAGGCGUUCCCUUGUGGCCUGUGUGCAGGUGGUGCAUGGCUGUCGUCAGCUCGUGUCGUGAGAUGUUGGGUUAAGUCCCGCAACGAGCGCAACCCUUGUCUCAUGUUGCCAGCGGGUAAUGCCGGGGACUCGUGAGAGACUGCCGGGGUCAACUCGGAGGAAGGUGGGGAUGACGUCAAGUCAUCAUGCCCCUUAUGUCCAGGGCUUCACACAUGCUACAAUGGCCGGUACAAAGGGCUGCGAUGCCGUAAGGUUAAGCGAAUCCUUUUAAAGCCGGUCUCAGUUCGGAUUGGGGUCUGCAACUCGACCCCAUGAAGUCGGAGUCGCUAGUAAUCGCA